UUGGAGGGCAAGUCUGGUGCCAGCAGCCGCGGUAAUUCCAGCUCCAAUAGCGUAUAUUAAAGUUGUUGCAGUUAAAAAGCUCGUAGUUGAAUUUCGGGAUCAAAUUGUCGGUCGUGCCUCGGUACGCACUGGUAUUAUUGGUUCCUACCUUCUGAAGAACCGCGAUGUCAUUAAUUUGGUGUCGUGGGGAAUCAGGACUGUUACUUUGAAGAAAUUAGAGUGUUUAAAGCAGGCUUACGCUUGAAUACAUUAGCAUGGAAUAAUGAAAUAGGACGUUUGAUUCUAUUUUGUUGGUUUCUAGGAUUGACGUAAUGAUUAAUAGGGAUAGUUGGGGGCAUUAGUAUUCAAUUGUCAGAGGUGAAAUUCUUGGAUUUAUUGAAGACUAACUACUGCGAAAGCAUUUGCCAAGGAUGUUUUCAUUAAUCAAGAACGAAAGUUAGGGGAUCGAAGACGAUCAGAUACCGUCGUAGUCUUAACCAUAGACUAUGCCGACUAGGGAUCGGAUGAUGUUAAUUUUUUAGUGACUCAUUCGGCGCCUUACGGGAAAC
rnacentral:rRNA from 1 species